GGAGAAGAUUCCAUGGGAAGGAGAGUUCACCCUUAGAAGCGAUCCGUGAGCUGGGUUGAUAGCGUCUAGCGGCAGUUUUUACC
rnacentral:rRNA from 1 species